UAGAACCGACGAGAACGAAUUAGCGAGAGGCUAAAAAUUCUGCAGGAAAUGGUUCCAAACGGCUCAAAGGUUGAUCUUGUGACCAUGUUAGAAAAAGCUAUUAGUUAUGUCAAGUUUCUCCAGCUUCAAGUGAAGGUUUUGGCUACCGAUGAAUUUUGGCCAACCGCGGGAGGGAAAGCGCCGAACCUUUCGCAAGUGAGGGAAGCCAUAGAUGCCAUUCUCGCAUCCCACAGAGACAGAAAUUCUAGUUCCA